UAGGGAAUCUUCCGCAAUGGGCGAAAGCCUGACGGAGCAACGCCGCGUGAGUGAUGAAGGUCUUCGGAUCGUAAAACUCUGUUAUUAGGGAAGAACAAAUGUGUAAGUAACUAUGCACGUCUUGACGGUACCUGAUCAGAAAGCCACGGCUAACUACGUGCCAGCAGCCGCGGUAAUACGUAGGUGGCAAGCGUUAUCCGGAAUUAUUGGGCGUAAAGCGCGCGUAGGCGGUUUUUUAAGUCUGAUGUGAAAGCCCACGGCUCAACCGUGGAGGGUCAUUGGAAACUGGAAAACUUGAGUGCAGAAGAGGAAAGUGGAAUUCCAUGUGUAGCGGUGAAAUGCGCAGAGAUAUGGAGGAACACCAGUGGCGAAGGCGACUUUCUGGUCUGUAACUGACGCUGAUGUGUGAAAGCGUGGGGAUCAAACAGG
rnacentral:rRNA from 1 species